GUAGUCAUAUGCUUGUCUCAAAGAUUAAGCCAUGCAUGUCUAAGUAUAAGCAAUUAUACCGUGAAACUGCGAAUGGCUCAUUAAAUCAGUUAUCGUUUAUUUGAUAGUACCUUACUACUUGGAUAACCGUGGUAAUUCUAGAGCUAAUACAUGCUGAAAACCCCAACUUCGGAAGGGGUGUAUUUAUUAGAUAAAAAACCAAUGCCCUUCGGGGCUCCUUGGUGAUUCAUAAUAACUUCUCAGAUCGUAUGGCCUUGCGCCGGCGACGGUUCAUUCAAAUUUCUGCCCUAUCAACUUUCGAUGGUAAGGUAUUGGCUUACCAUGGUUUCAACGGGUAACGGGGAAUUAGGGUUCGAUUCCGGAGAGGGAGCCUGAGAAACGGCUACCACAUCCAAGGAAGGCAGCAGGCGCGCAAAUUACCCAAUCCCGACACGGGGAGGUAGUGACAAUAAAUACUGAUACAGGGCUCUUUUGGGUCUUGUAAUUGGAAUGAGUACAAUUUAAACCUCUUAACGAGGAACAAUUGGAGGGCAAGUCUGGUGCCAGCAGCC
rnacentral:rRNA from 1 species